CUAACAUCGUGAUGAGUUCUUGUUUCUGUUGGUCGGUGGUCAGGGAGGGAGAAGAUGGCCAGUCUAUGUUGGAGACAGUGGCGAUCCAUGCCCCUCGGAACUCUCGCACUGGCCAUAGGGAACCAUCUAUGAAAAGAAGAGCUCAAAAGGUAUAAAGAGCAAAGAAAGACAACUCUGACGACACUGAGAAAAUUUUGUACAAACAGAUGCACUAAAUCUACAUUUUAUCUAUGUAUAUGAAAUUGCAACAGAGAUAAAUGAAUAAACGUA